GAUGAAGAACGUAGCGAAAUGCGAUAAGUAAUGUGAAUUGCAGAAUUCAGUGAAUCAUCGAAUCUUUGAACGCACCUUGCGCUCCUUGGUAUUCCGAGGAGCAUGCCUGUUUGAGUGUCAUGAAAUUCUCAACCUUUUCAGCUUUCUUUGUUGAUCAGGCUUGGAUGUGGGAGUAUGCGGGCUUCUCAGAAGUCGGCUCUCCUGAAAUGCAUUAGCGGGACCUUUGUUGCCUGGCUUUGGUGUGAUAAUUAUCUACGCCAUUGUAGUCAAGCAGCUUAAAAUGAGGUUUCAGCUACUAACCGUCUCCCCUGAGACAACUUUUUGACAAUUUGACCUCAAAUCAGGUAGGACUACCCGCUGAACUUAAGCAUAUCAAUAAGCGGAGGA
rnacentral:misc_RNA from 1 species